rnacentral:lncRNA from 1 species
AUGGAGGGGUUUCCGGCUGUGACCCUGGACUGCGGCGCUUUUCAUCUUGCUUCCCGGGAACCUGGGUCUCCGUCCAUCACGGGGGAAGCACCAAGCGGCAGGAACGUUAGUCCCGGCUCAUGCUCAGGACAGAAACUGCAGCCGGGCCUGCGCGAUGUCACAGGUGGAGUGAGGAGAACAUUUCUGUCGGGCCUGGAAAGCAGGUGGCCAAACUGUUGAAGUACACUGCUGUGGUCACCGGGACAGAACGGCCAUGCUGGAGCAGGCCAGAGGCCGUGCCAUGGGGUGCACUCUUGGCUUUGAGAACUUUUGGAUGAAAGCCUUCAAUCUUUGGGUUUUAACUCCUUCCCAGGAAUGUUAUAUAUUUUGUUGUUGUUGUUGUCAAAAAAGAGGUUUGGGGAAACUAUGGUUGUCAAAAUAAAUGAAAAUGUAUCAAAAAUGGAAUUAUGCUUGGGGAUAUGGACUGGGGAGGCUGUGUGUGGGGGCAGGGGCUUACAGAAGCUUUCUGUACGUUAAUAUUCAUGUUAAGCUCUGUCUUAAUAUUUACUGAGCAGCCAUGAGUCCUAGGAGAUACAUAUCUUU